GCGCGAAAACUUUACAAUGCGGGAAACCGUGAUAAGGGAAUCUCGAGUGCCAGCAUAUAAUGUUGGCUGUCCAGAUGCCUAAAAAGCAUCUGUUAGCAAGGGCCGGGCAAGACCGGUGCCAGCCGCCGCGGUAACACCGGCGGCCCGAGUGGUAACCGCUUUUAUUGGGUCUAAAGGGUCUGUAGCCGGCCAAGUAAGUCCCUUGGGAAAUCUGGCAGCUCAACUGUCAGGCUGCUAGGGGAUACUGCUAGGCUUGGGACCGGGAGAGGUGAGAGGUACCUUGGGGGUAGGGUGAAAUCUUGUGAUCCUCGGGGGACCACCAGUGGCGAAGGCGUCUCACCAGAACGGGUCCGACGGUAAGGGACGAAAGCUGGGGGCACGAACCGGAUUGGAGACCCCAGU
rnacentral:rRNA from 1 species